rnacentral:rRNA from 1 species
GGUGAUUCAUGAUAACCUAACGGAUCGCAUGGCCUUGCGCCGGCGACGGUUCAUUCAAAUUUCUGCCCUAUCAACUUUCGAUGGUAAGGUAUUGGCUUACCAUGGUUUCAACGGGUAACGGGGAAUUAGGGUUCGAUUCCGGAGAGGGAGCCUGAGAAACGGCUACCACAUCCAAGGAAGGCAGCAGGCGCGCAAAUUACCCAAUCCCGACACGGGGAGGUAGUGACAAUAAAUACUGAUACAGGGCUCUUUUGGGUCUUGUAAUCGGAAUGAGUACAAUUUAAAUCUCUUAACGAGGAACAAUUGGAGGGCAAGUCUGGUGCCAGCAGCCGCGGUAAUUCCAGCUCCAAUAGCGUAUAUUAAAGUUGUUGCAGUUAAAAAGCUCGUAGUUGAAUCUUGGGCCUGGCUGGCUGGUCCGCCUCACCGCGUGUACUGGUCCGGCCGGGCCUUUCUUUCUGGGGAACCACAUGCCCUUCACUGGGUGUGUCGGGGAACCAGGACUUUUACUUUGAAAAAAUUAGAGUGUUCAAAGCAGGCCUUUGCUCGAAUAUGUUAGCAUGGAAUAAUAGAAUAGGACGUGUGGUUCUAUUUUGUUGGUUUCUAGGACCGCCGUAAUGAUUAAUAGGGAUAGUCGGGGGCAUCAGUAUUCAAUUGUCAGAGGUGAAAUUCUUGGAUUUAUUGAAGACUAA